UGCCUCCACCUGCGCGGACGCGCGCACGACAGAGUGCAAUAGCAGCGGCGCGCACUCCACAACGUCACUCGCCGGUCGCGCGCGCGAAUCCCGGGAGGGGCGUCAUGAGGACACGCCCACUACUGAGAAGGUGGUCCAACCUCACUGAGCUCUUAACUGUUGUCAGCCUGGAACCAGCAUUUUCCUUUCAUCGUCAAAUAAUAACCCCAAAAUUGCAACGAGUGUCAGUUCUUCAACCCAAUCUGCUGGGUCAAAAAUAAUUAACCCAACCUUGAGUGAAAGUAACCCAUUCUGAUCAAAAUCCACAUCUCCCCAGCAGACUAGGAAAACAAUCCACCAAUUUUUUUUCACAUGUGCAUUAUUUAUUUGAAGGAGCACAAGGAGACAUCCAGACACUCGUCACGACGACGAUGACACGAGGAAUCUGUGCAAAAUAGUGCAUUUGGUUGGAGGACACACACAGACGCGACAUGCAGGACGGCAACAACGCUCGCUUCCUGGGAACAUUUCCGUGUUUCAAGGCAACUUGAGGGUGGCAAAGAUUGUUACAAAUAAGGCGGAAUCGCUGUGAGGUAGAAAAAAAAGGCGAGGAGGAGUAAGAGAGAGAGAGAGAGAAAAAAGGAGAA